rnacentral:misc_RNA from 1 species
UCACCCCUCAAGCCUCCGGCUUGGUGUUGGAUGGUUUGGUGACAGCGCCCUCUGGGCAGCGGUCACCCCUCCCAAAGACAAUGACGGCGGCCUCGUUGGACCCCCGGUACACUGAGUUCCUCACCGAACACGUACUGGAUCAAGGGCCCGCGGAGCACGGUCUGCCUCCCCUCAGGGAGAACUUUUAUCUCAA